CCUACGGGAGGCAGCAGUGGGGAAUCUUGCACAAUGGAGGAAACUCUGAUGCAGCGAUGCCGCGUGAGUGAAGAAGGCCUUUGGGUUGUAAAGCUCUUUUGUAGGGGAAGAUAAUGACUGUACCCUAAGAAUAAGGUCCGGCUAACUUCGUGCCAGCAGCCGCGGUAAUACGAAGGGACCUAGCGUAGUUCGGAAUUACUGGGCGUAAAGCGCGCGUAGGCCGUUGAGUUAGUUAAUUGUGAAAUCCCAAAGCUUAACUUUGGAACUGCAAUUAAAACUGCUCGACUAGAGUUUGAUAGAGGAAAGCGGAAUACAUAGUGUAGAGGUGAAAUUCGUAGAUAUUAUGUAGAACACCAGUUGCGAAGGCGGCUUUCUGGAUCAACACUGACGCUGAGGCGCGAAAGUAUGGGUAGCAAAGAGGAUUAGAUACCCUCGUAGUCCAUACCAUAAACGAUGGUUGCUAGAUGUUGGAAAUUUAUUUUCAGUAUCGCAGCUAACGCAUUAAGCAAUCCGCCUGGGGAGUACGACCGCAAGGUUAAAACUCAAAUGAAUUGACCGGNNGNGAGUGCGAGCGACGACGAGGAGAG
rnacentral:rRNA from 1 species